CCUACGGGCUGCACCAUUGGGGAAUAUUGCACAAUGGGCGCAAGCCUGAUGCAGCCAUGCCGCGUGUAUGAAGAAGGCCUUAGGGUUGUAAAGUACUUUCAGUUGGGAGGAAGGCGUUGAUGCUAAUAUCAUCAACGAUUGACGUUACCAACAGAAGAAGCACCGGCUAACUCCGUGCCAGCAGCCGCGGUAAUACGGAGGGUGCAAGCGUUAAUCGGGAUUACUGGGCGUAAAGCGCACGCAGGCGGUUGAUUAAGUUAGAUGUGAAAUCCCCGGGCUUAACCUGGGAAUGGCAUCUAAGACUGGUCAGCUAGAGUCUUGUAGAGGGG
rnacentral:rRNA from 1 species